GACGAACGCUGGCGGCGUGCUUAACACAUGCAAGUCGAACGGAAAGGCCUCUUUCGGGGGGUACUCGAGUGGCGAACGGGUGAGUAACACGUGAGUAACCUGCCCUUGACUUUGGGAUAACUUCAGGAAACUGGGGCUAAUACCUGAUAGGAGCUCCUUCUGCAUGGUUGGGGUUGGAAAGUUUCGGCGGUUGGGGAUGGACUCGCGGCUUAUCCGCUUGUUGGUGGGGUAGUGGCUUACCAAGGCUUUGACGGGUAGCCGGCCUGUGAGGGUGACCGGCCACAUUGGGACUGAGAGACGGCCCAGACUCCGACGGGAGGCAGAAGGGGGGAAGAUUGCACAAGGGGUGGAAGCCGGAUGCAGCAACGCCGUGUGCGGGAUGACGGCCUUCGGGUUGUAAACCGCAUUCGCUCAUGACGAAGCUUUGUGUGACGGUAGUGGGUAAAGAAGCACCGGCUAACUACGUG
rnacentral:rRNA from 1 species